rnacentral:rRNA from 1 species
GACGAACCUUGCUAACGUUAUUCGGAAUUACUGGGCUUAAAGGGUGCGUAGGCGGUGCGGAAAGUUGGGUGUGAAAUCCCUCGGCUCAACCGAGGAAUUGCGCCCAAAACUGCCGCACUAGAGGAAGACAGAGGUACGCGGAACUUAGGGUGGAGCGGUGAAAUGCGUUGAUAUCCUAAGGAACACCGGUGGCGAAAGCGGCGUACUGGAUCUUAUCUGACGCUGAGGCACGAAAGCUAGGGGAGCGAACGGG